rnacentral:rRNA from 1 species
ACGGUCUCAGUUCAGAUUGCAGGCUGCAACUCGCCUGCAUGAAGUUGGAAUUGCUAGUAAUCGCGAAUCAGAAUGUCGCGGUGAAUACGUUCCCGGGCCUUGUACACACCGCCCGUCACACCAUGAGAGUCGAUAACACCCGAAGCCUGUGAGCUAACCUUUUAGGAGGCAGCAGUCGAAGGUGGGGUUGAUGAUUGGGGUGAAGUCGUAACAAGGUACC